rnacentral:lncRNA from 1 species
UUGCACUUUUAUGUUAUGGAGAUGGCUUUUUUCUUUAAACCUCAUGAACCAACCUCUGCUAGCUUCACACUUUUCUUCUGCAGCUUCUUCGCCUCUCUCAGCAUUCAAAGAAUUGAAGAGUUAGGGCCUUGCUCUGGGUUAGCCUGAAAGGAAUGUUGUGGCUGGUUUGAUCUUCUAUCCAGACCACUAAAACUUUCUCCAUAUCAACAAUCAGGAUGUCCCACUUUCUUAUCAUUCAUGUUUUCACUGACGUAGCACUUUCAUUUCCUUCAGGAACUCUUCCUUUACAUUUACAUACUUAACUGGUAUAAGAGCCCCCUAGCUUUAGGCCUGUCUCGGUUUUGGACAUGCCUUCACCGUCAUCAUUCUAGCUUUGGAUUUAAAAUGAGAGAUGCGCAGCUCUUCCUUUCUCUUGAACACUUUAUAGGCCACUAUAGGGUUAUCAAUUGGCCUAAUUUCAAAAUUGUUGUGUUUCAGGGAAUAGGGAGACCCAAGGAGAGGGAGACACAGGAGAGCAGUUGGGACACACACAACACUGAUCAAGUUUGACACAGGAGAGCAGUUGGGACACACACAACACUGAUCAAGUUUGCUGUCUUAUACAGGUGUGGUUCAUGGUGCCCCAAAACAAUGACAAUAGUAGUAUCAAAGCUCGCUGAUCUCAGAGCACUAUAACAGACAUAAUAGUAAGGAAAAAGUUGGAAAUGUUUGAGAAUUACCAAAAUGUGACAUUGAAACACGGAGUGAGUGUGUGCUGUUGGAAGAACAGACUGGCGCUGACAAGACUUGCUCAGCGCCAGGUUGCCACAAACCUUCGAUUUGUAAAAACCACCAAUUAAUUGUGAAACGUAAUAAAGCAAAGUACAGUAAAAUGAGGGAUGCCUGUAUGAGGUGUGAUAAGGUAACCACGUGACACAGGCCAUGCCAAGGCUCCCUUACUUCUCCCCUUCUUCCUGCCAUGAUUCUAGCUGGAAAUAACCAACCUUCGGAAUUUGUACCUUCAGGGUAUCGGGUUAUUACAGCACACACAGCUUUCACCUCUUCCAAAGCCCACCACUAAGCAAAGCUGACAGCCCACAGAUUAUCAAAUGUUUAUGUGCACACAGCAUCACACUGCACACAGCACACCCCCCACACACAGAGAAAAGGAGAGUUUCUGUGACAAAGUGCUCAGGUAAGAGGAAAACCACUGAAGCCUCACUGCUGCCUGUGGAACACCCUGAACCCCACAGUUGUCCUUCACUCCUGAGGCCGAAAGGAAUUCCACAGAAUGCCUGGCUGUUGAGAGCCACGCUGUUUCUGGCUGUCACCUGGAAGACAAACUACUGAGCUGGUGCUGGUGGUGGCGCGCGUCACCACCAGCUCACAGGCUUGAGCUGUCAUGAAAUCCUGGGCAGAAUCCAGUCCAGAGAAAGCGUGGAGAGGACAGUGGCCCAGAGCUGCUUUCAGGUGCUCCAUGGACGGCCAUCGUGAUCAGGGACACUGCCUUCUCGCAGCGGGAAUGCAUUUCAUUUGAGAGCAUGGAUUCUGGAGGCAGACACUGGAUCCAAAGCCACCUCUACCACCUAUUGGCUGUGGGACCCUGGACGAACUACUUUACCUCUGUGCCUCAUUUAUCUCAGCUGGGAAACAGGAUGAUAAUAAUAGCACAGGCUCAGCAUCCCAAAUCCAAAAAUUCCCAAAUCCCAAAUCCUCCAGAAUCUGAAACUUUCUGAGUCCUGACAUGACACUCCAAGGAAAUGCUCAUUGCAACAUUUUGGAUUUCAGAUUUUCAGAUGUGGGAUAUUCAACUGGCAAGUAUCAUGCAAAUAUUCCAAAAUCUGAAAACAUCUGAACUCUGAAAUGCUUCUGGUCACAAGCAUUUUGGAAACAGGAUGCUCAACCUGUAUCCACGUGACAGGGCUGCUGUAAGUGUGGAUACAGGCAAUGCAUGUAAAGCAUCUGGAGCAGUGCCUGGCACACGUGGGGAGCCCGUCAUAUGCUGCCGCGGCUGCUGCUAAUGACAACAGGGACAACUACGAUGAGAUUACAGAGGCAGGGGACGGGUGCAGCUCCACGGUUAACAAUGCUACCAGGUGUCCCCAGCUCACAAAGCCUGUCCAUGGUCCCAUUUUCCACACAUGGAACCUGGCCCAGAGAGCAACCGCCCACAGUCCCACUCCUAGGAAGCAGGGUAGCCAGGAACUGAAUGCAGGUCUGUGAACCUAAAACGAAUACUCUUUUAACCUCUGCCACUAAAAUUGCAUCCAAUUUUCAAGGGGAAGGAGAAAUAUGGUUUCCCAGCACCUACUACGCCUUUGCACUGCAAUUGUCAGCUGGACAAGAAAGAGCAUCUGAAUAUCUGAUUUAAAGGAAAAGGCUGCUUUCUCUUUGGGACUAAUAACAACGAAGGCUUUUUUGGCUCUGCAAGUUUGCUGUCCUCUCGCCAGUGCUGUGGACUGGGGCUUUCUCAGAGUAGUGCUGCUUUCAGCGAAGCAGCUGUUUGGGGUGGCCCCUUUGUUUCUUAUUACCUACGCUAUGACCACAGCUCCACACUGACAUGCGAUGGCGGCAUCAGUUGACAUCUAUUUUCUUGUUAACAGAACACAAGUGGCUCCUUAUUAAGCGCCCCCAGAGAAGAUUCUGCCAUAAAAAUUUCAUAAAGCCCAAGCGCCUCCCGAAAUGUAAACUGGCCCGCUCAACUUUCCCUUGGAAAUCGCUGGUGAGAUCUGCUUUGUCGGCCAGUGUGCGUGUUCCACCUAUGGUCACUUUAGGCCGCUAAAAGCAAGAAACCAAUCAAGCAUCCCACUAGAGUCGACAAACCAAAC